CCAUAUUUGAUUACAAAGUAUAUGCAUAUAGAAACUAGCUGAUUUCUAAGGUGGUGUUGCACAUUGUUGCCACUGUAGAGGAGCACAAGAGCAGUACUGAAGAACCCAGGAGUGAGCACAUGGAUUAUCAUGGAUUUUCAUCAACAUAGAAAUUUGUAAACAAGCUGUUAUGGAUGACGACAACAAGACAGUUGCUGGCUUAAAAAUGGAGUCAAGCAUAAAACAUGCACAAAUCUUAUGAAUACUUUAAGUAAUGAUACAGCAUGAAUGAUAAUGGUUGUAUAUU